UUUGGGCUUUUAACAAUUACGCUUUCUGGAAACAUUUAUUAAGACUUUGUUCCUACAUUUUCUUACAUCCUCCCUGUGCUGUGAAUUUGGAUCUGGAGUCAAACAAACCUGGACUGAAAUCCUGGCCCUGCAUGCCUCCAGCGUAUGUGACGCCAGCCAAGUUACCAUCUCUGACCACUCUUCCCUUGAGUGGAAAAGAGAGGGAGGACAACAGGGGCUUCUUCGUGUGGCUGGUGUAGGAAUCCAACGGAAAAGACCUGUAAAACUACCUUCCAUGCAGUUUGCCAACUGAUUUGACCAAUACUUAUCAAGCACAAGCCACGAGCCAGACAUCCACCAGGGCCUGGGAGAGAAGGGUGAAGAAGACUGUCCAGGACCUCGCAGUGCUUAGAGUCUAGAGACAGGCACAGACAGACCAGGCCUCUGCCAAACUCUCCUUAGGCAGGAGCACAGAAAGCCCUUGAAGAAUCACAGAGGACCAAAGACUCGGGAGGGAAACGCUAGGAUGCAGGACAGGAGAAACGUGCCACCCUGGAAAUGCGACUCAACACUGACUUGACCCUGCUGCUCAGAAGCUGGCGAUUUGGGCCGCUAGGGAGGGAGCAACUGUUGCUACUGCUAUCUGGCAAAUUGGACCUGGGAUGCUGCUAGGCAUCUGCAACACGCAGGACAGCCCCACGAUGAAGAACAAUCCAGCUCCAAACGUCAGGACUUUUCGGGUUGGAAAAUCCUGG